rnacentral:rRNA from 1 species
AUGGAACCGGUUGGUCCAAAGAGCAAAGUCAUUACAAAUGUUGGAGAUUGUGAAGAUAGCAGUGUGAUCUUCAUUCCUGAACACAGCAGCAUUCCGCGAAUCCCAGAUUUUCCACAGAAUUGCAAGAAGCACCUCGGGCCAUGUAGAAGAGUCGAGGCCUUGUGGGGGUUCAGUAAGCCAGAGAUCUUGGACUCUGACAGUUGGAGUGAGGCUGAGCUGCAGCCAGACUGGCUGUGCUUUAGGGCAUGUGAUGAAAAGGUGCGUUGUAUCCUCAGAGGUAGCCGAGCACCGUGGACACCUAGCAUCCGUGCCAAUGUGCUUAUGGAACAGGUUUGCCUUGGUGUUUAG